rnacentral:rRNA from 1 species
ACUCCUACGGGAGGCAGCAGUAGGGAAUCUUCCACAAUGGACGAAAGUCUGAUGGAGCAACGCCGCGUGAGUGAAGAAGGGUUUCGGCUCGUAAAAACUCUGUUGUUAAAGAAGAACAUAUCUGAGAGUAACUGUUCAGGUAUUGACGGUAUUUAACCAGAAAGCCACGGCUAACUACGUGCCAGCAGCCGCGGUAAUACGUAGGUGGCAAGCGUUGUCCGGAUUUAUUGGGGCGUAAAGCGAGCGCAGGCGGUUUUUAAAGUCUGAUGUGAAAGCCUUCGGCUCAACCGAAGAAGUGCAUCGGAAACUGGGAAACUUGAGUGCAGAAGAGGACAGUGGAACUCCAUGUGUAGCGGUGAAAUGCGUAGAUAUAUGGAAGAACACCAGUGGCGAAGGCGGCUGUCUGGUCUGUAACUGACGCUGAGGCUCGAAAGUAUGGGUAGCAAACAGGAUUAGAUACCCUGGUAGGAUAGCG